rnacentral:rRNA from 1 species
AGCGUGGUGAGCAAACAGGAUUAGAUACCCUGGUAGUCCACGCCCUAAACGAUGCGAAUUGGAUGUUGUCUCAACUCGGAGAUCAGUUCGAAGCUAACGCGUUAAUUCGCCGCCUGGGGAGUACGGUCGCAAGACUGAAACUCAAAGGAAUGACGGGGCCCGCACAAGCGGUGGAGUAUGUGGUUUAAUUCGAUGCAACGCGAAGAACCUUACCUGGCCUUGACAUGUCUGGAAUCCUGCAGAGAUGCGGGAGUGCCUUCGGGAAUCAGAACACAGGUGCUGCAUGGCUGUCGUCAGCUCGUGUCGUGAGAUGUUGGGUUAAGUCCCGCAACGAGCGCAACCCUUGUCCUUAGUUGCCAGCACGUAAUGGUGGGAACUCUAAGGAGACUGCCGGUGACAAACCGGAGGAAGGUGGGGAUGACGUCAAGUCCUCAUGGCCCUUACGGCCAGGGCUACACACGUACUACAAUGGUCGGUACAGAGGGUUGCAAUACCGCGAGGUGGAGCCAAUCCCAGAAAGCCGAUCCCAGUCCGGAUCGGAGUCUGCAACUCGACUCCGUGAAGUCGGAAUCGCUAGUAAUCGCGGAUCAGCUAUGCCGCGGUGAAUACGUUCCCGGGCCUUGUACACACCGCCCGUCACACCAUGGGAGUGAGUUGCUCCAGAAGCCGUU